AUCUAUGGUAGCGUGUAAUGGGAAAGGUUCGCCCUUUGCUGUGUUCCAUAUGUCGCAGUUUUCCAGCCCGUUACACGUUACCGCCCAA
rfam:Actinobacillus minor NM305 Contig_123, whole genome shotgun sequence.